UUAGCCUUAUCUGUAUGCAUUUACACGAAUUGAAAAGAGAAUCCGUUUAUUGGAAAAACUGAUCCACCAAAUUCUUGAUUCCAUUUAUCGGCGGAAUCGUCGCCGGCCACCACCGCCAACGUGGUGCCCAAAAGAGAACUCAAAAUCAAACCCAAAAGAAAACCCAGAAAAUCGAACCAAAAAGAGAACCCAGAAAAUGAAACCCAAAAAAGGGCACGACCAGGCAUCGGCCUUCUUGCUGUCGUAGUCCUUGCGGGAGACGACCUCCGGUGCGAACGAGGCCAUCGAUUUUGUGCUCAAAAAUGGCGGAGAGACCUCGCGGGAUACGGCGUCCACGGUGGCGGCCGAGGAGGCGACUGAGCUGAUAUUUGUUUGGGGCCAAGGGCGGCCGAGCUACUGCUGUCGAUGCUGGUGGUUCAGCGGAUUUGGGUGGCAGAGAAGGGCGUAGGAUAGGGGAUCAUUUGACUGGGAGUGGGUCUAGGUUUAAUAGGUAAGAUUAGGGGUGGUUUAAUUAAAUAUUAAUCAAUUCCUAAUUUUAACCAAAAAAGAAAAUGUGUCUUUAAUAAUGGGACAACCCAAUAAGGAAAGUGUGUCUUAAAUAAUGGGACAUGGUGAGUAAUAUAUUUAUGUUUCCAUUUUUUAUUUUGGCCCUCUAACAUAUGUACCUACCCAUUUUUUGAUUUUAG
rnacentral:lncRNA from 1 species